UUUUACCAUACGAUUCCAGGAUUGCUCAAAAAUGAGUCUCAAAUUUUUUAAGUGUCCGGCGUUCGGCGCUCUGUGAACUCGUGAUGAUCACUAGCUCAAAUGAAGCUGACCAUUGCUGGAUUGAAUGACUUUUCUAAGCUUUCAAGCAACUAUUCGGCUAAUAAAGAGUUCCCCCAUUCGUAAAAUUAUGAAAAAAUUUGUAGAAAGAUGCAUGUUUUAGAAUUUAAAUUCACAAGUUAUUCGAAACUGUUAUUUUGACCACGACUUGAGCGAGCUGACUUAAUUACAUUAUUACUGUUGUGUUGCCGUCCGUCACGCAACAAACGGAAAAGAGCACAAUCUGUUAAAAAUAUGAGAACAUGUACGUGUCUACUGCUGAUAGAUACACAGCAGCAUUUUUGAAUCAUGUGUAUGUAGAAUAUUCACUUAAUAUUCUGCUUAUGGAGCUCAGUUAUCCCUUAAGGAGGCUCUGGGUAGUUUUGGUGUGGCACACCUAGCUGCAUUGAAACGGCUACAACUUCGUCUUGAAUAACUCCAUCUGUAAAAGCUUUUCACACAAUGUCAGGAAAGGAGUAAAGGUUUCAAAAAUGAUAAAUUAGUUUGAAGCGGCCUUUUUAUUAUGUCAAAUAAAAUAAGUACGCUCACAASUAACAGCACACGACAAGGAAUAACACGGAAGUCAAAUUUGAAUAAUAAACAAGCAGCCGUGAGCGAAAAUAGUUGUGAGCGUACUUAUUUAUAUUCGACUGCCUUAAAACCCUUCAAUGCAUAUGAAAUUAAAGUAGAAUAUUUAUAAAAGAUGCAUCUUCUAGUGACUUCACCUAGAAAAAAAUCGUUCGACGAUUUUUUUAAUGUCGCUUUCAACGAUAUUUUCUAUCGCUUUUGAUAACAAAUGGGGUCAUUUAGCUUCAUAUCAAAAAAUCCAUAACGUUAGAAAGAAAGUCACAAUGUGAUUCAUACUCAUUAAGGACAGUGUCUAUACCCGUACGUAUAUUCUAGCUACUAAAAAUAUUGAAUCCACUAAAUUAAAGUCCCGAAUUUUGAAGGAAUAAAGUUGACACGCUGGAAAUAAUAGUUCGCGAUUCACUAAAUAGUUUCUUAUAUUUUUGAGACGACAAUAUUUUAUUUUGACAGCUUUGACAGCUCAUUGUUCUUGUCAGCCAAUAAGAAACAAGYUAGUGUUGAAUAAARAUUAUUUUAUUCAAGCAAAGUUGAAAUCAAAUUCGUUUACAUUUUGUACAUUCUUCAUCAAACUCAUGAAAAUUCAAGUUUAUCACUGGAAAAAAAUGAGGGAAGCUAACAAAAGGUUGGCAGGGAGCACGUGCUCGUCCUUCUUGUCGCUGAGAUGAAGUUUCUACUACUGUGGAGGAACUCUUAGAGCUGUGAAUACUGCCAGAGGAAUUAUAUGCCAGCAAUUUCAUCAUCCUCAAGAACAACAAUACUUGAUUUUCGCUUUUUGUCACCCAUUAAUUCAUCGUUGACAGAAACAGAGGCAGCUGAGUUACGAGCCGUGACAUUUGAUGACUUUGAUAUGGUAUUUGAAGGCUUUGAACCGGAGGGAGUAGUAAUUUGAGAUGAUAUUUGAAAAUUUGGAAGCUCCAAGUCGUCCUCAGUCCAAGUUGDUUUCGGAAACAUAUACAUUUUACAUCUAUUUCAAGUUUUCUUGGUACGUUUUUGAAAGAAAAAAAAUUUUCUGUUCAAAACGACAGCAGUGAAAAAGUGCUUGUGUCAGGGGUGGAUCCAGGAUCUGGGCUGACUAGUUCCACCCUCGAAAAGGACCAGACUCAUAUAGUAAAUAUAUGAAAAGUUGUACUCACCAUUUGGUGGUUUAUUAAAUCUAGUAAGUGGGAUCCAUGAAGUUUCUAUAUAUCCAAGCAUUAUCCAAAAUCUAUUUGACAACGAAAUUAAAACAGAAUUAGAAUUU